rnacentral:rRNA from 1 species
CCUACGGGUGGCAGCAGUGAGGAAUAUUGGUCAAUGGGCGAGAGCCUGAACCAGCCAAGUCGCGUGAGGGAGUACUGCCCUAUGGGUUGUAAACCUCUUUUGUCGGGGAGCAAAAGCCGGACGUGUCCGGCUGUGAGAGUACCCGAAGAAAAAGCAUCGGCUAACUCCGUGCCAGCAGCCGCGGUAAUACGGAGGAUGCGAGCGUUAUCCGGAUUUAUUGGGUUUAAAGGGUUCGCAGGCGGAUUUUUAAGUCAGCGGUAAAAUCGUGGGGCUCAACCCCAUCCAGCCGUUGAAACUGGGGAUCUAGAGUGUGCGAGAGGUAUGCGGAAGGCGUGGUGUAGCGGUGAAAUGCAUAGAUAUCACGCAGAACCCCGAUUGCGAAGGCAGCAUACCGGUGCACAACUGACGCUCAGGCACGAAAGCGUGGGUAUCGAACAGGAUUAGAUACCCGAGUAGUC